ACGCCGCGUGAGUGAAGAAGGUCUUCGGAUCGUAAAGCUCUGCUGUUGGUGAAGAAGGAUAGAGGCAGUAACUGGUCUUUAUUUGACGGUAAUCAACCAGACAGUCACGGCUAACUACGUGCCAGCAGCCGCGGUAAUACGUAGGUGGCAAGCGUUGUCCGGAUUUAUUGGGCGUAA
rnacentral:rRNA from 1 species